GCCACAUUCAGAGCAAGUAAUCUGAGAUCUCCUAACAGAGUACAAUAUCAACAGAGGAUCCUGUGGCACCUUUAAGACUAACAGAAGUAUUGGGAGCAUAAGCUUUCGUGGGUAAGAACCUCACUUCUUCAGAUGCAGAGAAGAUGUCUCAAGGAGGACUAAAUAAUGUGAUUUCAUUAAGGAACAUAUACAUUCAGGACAAAUUCUGCCAAGAGGAGCAUUUUUCUUCCUUUCAAUAGGCACAGAAGCAUAGUUUAGAUCCCUAAAGACUUCAACUCACCAGAAAUCUGUUUUAAGGACCGAAAUUCGGGUAACAAAAACAGAGGAGAACUAACAUCCUGCAACCUGCUGACUUCUAUAGCCGUGAGAAACUCGCCAAUGUCACAACCAACGAAAUCCAGCGUGGGAGGGGGGGUCCCCCCGCCCCCCCAGUUUCUAUCUGGCCGUGUGGGUCCUUGCACAACACCCCCGGCGGUCACAUCCUGGUGCCUGCGCUUCCCCCAGACGUGUUCAGCCUGCCCGAGAAUCCCCCCGCCCCAGCGUGUAAAACGCGAAAACUUAGAUUGGCUGGUGCAGAUGGCACCGCUGUCGGCAGAUUUCAGGGAGUAAUCCUUGUUGUCUUCCUGGCCUGCAUCUCUCUAAAGACAAAGACUGCGUCGAUUGUUUCCCUGUCAUCAGGUAUUGGCCACAGCUGGAGGCAGGACCCUGAACUUGGACCAAUCGUCUGUUCUGGUAUCGCAACUCCUACAGCAUGUUCCUAAGCAAAGAAAGAGUCAGCUCCCGGGGGCAGUGCAAUAUGUCAGCGAGACAGAGAGAGGCAGCCCGGGACAGCUGCAGCUCAGAACUUCAAUUUGUAAUGACUGUCUGACCCACAAGCCAAAAUGUUGGUGGUGUUUUGCUUUACUGAAGCCACACAGGGAUCUCAAAGGCUUAGUAAGGUAUCCCUUUCUCCAGUGAGAAGGCUGCACUCUUGAGCACUUGCCAGGCCUUUUGGAAGCUUCUAAACAGAACUAAAAGCUUAUGCUGCAAAUUUCAAUUGCUCAUUUUUGUUGUUUACAGAAAUGUCUAUUCUCAGUCCAAGAAUCUCCAGAGUGCUGCCAUUUUGAA